AGGUCAGUCGUUUGGAAGAGAUCGACAUCCGCGACACCGUACUUGAUGCACGCCUUCUGGAACCUGCAACGUGUGGAGCGGGAAGGGUAAGGGUACUAGAGUAAUCGAUAACCGUUGGAACAGGAGUGCAUAGCCGGUGAAAGAGGUGGAUCUGAGUGAGGCUGGCGCCCGUACCGACCGCCGCUGCCUACGGUACGGUCUGUUCUCCCAGUGUACCCGUUCACUAUUCGCGACAAAGCGCGAUUUGGGAAGCGGAAGAAGAUGAACAAUAAUAAUAAUGAAUAAAUAAGCUGAUCAUCGAAGCA